GGGCGAUUAGCUCAGUUGGUUAGAGCGCUACCUUGACACGGUAGAGGUCAGAAGUUCGAAUCUUCUAUCGCCCACCA
rnacentral:tRNA from 2 species